rnacentral:rRNA from 1 species
CACGUAGGGGGCGAGCGUUGUCCGGAUUUAUUGGGCGUAAAGGGCUCGUAGGCGGCUCAGUAAGUCGGGUGUGAAACCUCCAGGCUCAACCUGGAGACGCCACUCGAUACUGCUGUGGCUAGAGUCCGGUAGGGGAGCAUGGAAUUCCUGGUGUAGCGGUGAAAUGCGCAGAUAUCAGGAGGAACACCAGUGGCGAAGGCGGUGCUCUGGGCCGGAACUGACGCUGAUGAGCGAAAGCGUGGGGGGCAAACAGG